GACAGCAGCAGCCACGGUAAUACGGAGGGUGCAAGCGUUAUCCGGAUUUAUUGGGUUUAAAGGGUCCGUAGGCGGACUUAUAAGUCAGUGGUGAAAGCCUGUCGCUUAACGAUAGAACUGCCAUUGAUACUGUAAGUCUUGAGUAUAUUUGAGGUAGCUGGAAUAAGUAGUGUAGCGGUGAAAUGCAUAGAUAUUACUUAGAACACCAAUUGCGAAGGCAGGUUACCAAGAUAUAACUGACGCUGAGGGACGAAAGCGUGGGUAGCGAACAGGAUUAGAUACCCCUGUAGUCCCUGUCUCUUAUAA
rnacentral:rRNA from 1 species